GACGAACGCUGGCGGCGUGCCUAAUACAUGCCAGUCGAGCGGACUUUCAAGAAGCUUGCUUUUUGAACGUUAGCGGCGGACGGGUGAGUAACACGUGGGCAACCUGCCUGCAAGACGGGGAUAACUCCGGGAAACCGGGGCUAAUACCGGAUAAUAUCUUCCUUCGCAUGAAGGAAGGUUGAAAGGCGGCGCAAGCUGCCGCUUGCAGAUGGGCCCGCGGCGCAUUGGCUAGGUGGUGAGGUAACGGCUCACCAAGGCGACGAUGCGGAGCCGACCUGAGGGGGUGAUCGGCCACACUGGGACUGAGACACGGCCCAGACGCCUACGGGAGGCAGCAGGAGGGAAUCUUCCGCAAUGGACGAAAGUCUGACGGAGCAACGCCGCGGGAGCGAAGAAGGUCUUCGGGUCGGAAAGCUCGGUUGUCAGGGAAGAACAAGUACCGUUCGAACAGGGCGGUACCUUGACGGUACCUGACCAGAAAGCCACGGCUAACUACGUG
rnacentral:rRNA from 1 species